rnacentral:lncRNA from 1 species
UUAGGAAGAUUGCAUGCGUUCGUUGCGAAAAAAUCCACCCGAGUUUCGCUACCCGGCAAUAGUGCAUUCGGGUGCCGAAAUGCACCCGUUUUGCAUCGUUUUUCGUGCCGGAACCGAAUGCCCAAAAACACUCCCAAACAUGUUCUAGUGCAUAUUUAGGAAGAUUGCAUGCGUUCGUUGCGAAAAAAUCCACCCGAGUUUCGCUACCCGGAAAUAGUGCAUUCGGGUGCCGAAAUGCACCCGUUUUGCAUCGUUUUUCGUGCCGGAACCGAAUGCCCAAAAACACUCCCAAACAUGUUCUAGUGCAUAUUUAGGAAGAUUGCAUGCGUUCGUUGCGAAAAAAUCCACCCGAGUUUCGCUACCCGGCAAUAGUGCAUUCGGGUGCCGAAAUGCACCCGUUUUGCAUCGUUUUUCGUGCCGGAACCGAAUGCCCAAAAACACUCCCAAACAUGUUCUAGUGCAUAUUUAGGAAGAUUGCAUGCGUUCGUUGCGAAAAAAUCCACCCGAGUUUCGCUACCCGGAAAUAGUGCAUUCGGGUGCCGAAAUGCACCCGUUUUGCAUCGUUUUUCGUGCCGGAACCGAAUGCCCAAAAACACUCCCAAACAUGUUCUAGUGUAUAAUUAGGAAGAUUGCAUGCGUUCGUUGCGAAAAAAUCCACCCGAGUUUCGCUACCCGGAAAUAGUGCAUUCGGGUGCCGAAAUGCACCCGUUUUGCAUCAUUUUUCGUGCCGGAACCGAAUGCCAAAAACACUCCCAAACAUGUUCUAGUGUAUAAUUAGGAAGAUUGCAUGCGUUCGUUGCGAAAAAAUCCACCCGAGUUUCGCUACCCGGAAAUAGUGCAUUCGGGUGCCGAAAUGCACCCGUUUUGCAUCGUUUUUCGUGCCGGAACCGAAUGCCCAAAAACACUCCCAAACAUGUUCUAGUGUAUAAUUAGGAAGAUUGCAUGCGUUCGUUGCGAAAAAAUCCACCCGAGUUUCGCUACCCGGAAUAGUGCAUUCGGGUGCCGAAAUGCACCCGUUUUGCAUCGUUUUUCGUGCCGGAACCGAAUGCUCAAAAACACUCCCAAACAUGUUCUAGUGCUAUAUUAGGAAGAUUGCAUGCGUUCGUUGCGAAAAAAUCCACCCGAGUUUCGCUACCCGGCAAUAGUGCAUUCGGGUGCCGAAAUGCACCCGUUUUGCAUCAUUUUUCGUGCCGGAACCGAAUGCCCAAAAACACUCCCAAACAUGUUCUAGGUCAUAUUUAGGAAGAUUGCAUGCGUUCGUUGCGAAAAAAUCCACCCGAGUUUCGCUACCCGGCAAUAGUGCAUUCGGGUGCCGAAAUGCACCCGUUUUGCAUCAUUUUUCGUGCCGGAACCGAAUGCCCAAAAACACUCCCAAACAUGUUCUAGUGUCAUAUUUAGGAAGAUUGCAUGCGUUCGUUGCGAAAAAAUCCACCCGAGUUUCGCUACCCGGCAAUAGUGCAUUCGGGUGCCGAAAUGCACCCGUUUUGCAUCAUUUUUCGUGCCGGAACCGAAUGCCCAAAAACACUCCCAAACAUGUUCUAGUGCAUAUUUAGGAAGAUUGCAUGCGUUCGUUGCGAAAAAAUCCACCCGAGUUUCGCUACCCGGCAAUAGUGCAUUCGGGUGCCGAAAUGCACCCGUUUUGCAUCGUUUUUCGUGCCGGAACCGAAUGCCCAAAAACACUCCCAAACAUGUUCUAGUGCUAUAUUUAGGAAGAUUGCAUGCGUUCGUUGCGAAAAAAUCCACCCGAGUUUCGCUACCCGGCAAUAGUGCAUUCGGGUGCCGAAAUGCACCCGUUUUGCAUCAUUUUUCGUGCCGGAACCGAAUGCCCAAAAACACUCCCAAACAUGUUCUAGUGCAUAUUUAGGAAGAUUGCAUGCGUUCGUUGCGAAAAAAUCCACCCGAGUUUCGCUACCCGGCAAUAGUGCAUUCGGGUGCCGAAAUGCACCCGUUUUGCAUCAUUUUUCGUGCCGGAACCGAAUGCCCAAAAACACUCCCAAACAUGUUCUAGUGCUAUAUUAGGAAGAUUGCAUGCGUUCGUUGCGAAAAAAUCCACCCGAGUUUCGCUACCCGGCAAUAGUGCAUUCGGGUGCCGAAAUGCACCCGUUUUGCAUCGUUUUUCGUGCCGGAACCGAAUGCCCAAAAACACUCCCAAACAUGUUCUAGUGCUAUAUUAGGAAGAUUGCAUGCGUUCGUUGCGAAAAAAUCCACCCGAGUUUCGCUACCCGGAAAUAGUGCAUUCGGGUGCCGAAAUGCACCCGUUUUGCAUCGUUUUUCGUGCCGGAACCGAAUGCCAAAAACACUCCCAAACAUGUUCUAGUGCUAUAUUAGGAAGAUUGCAUGCGUUCGUUGCGAAAAAAUCCACCCGAGUUUCGCUACCCGGCAAUAGUGCAUUCGGGUGCCGAAAUGCACCCGUUUUGCAUCAUUUUUCGUGCCGGAACCGAAUGCCCAAAAACACUCCCAAACAUGUUCUAGUGCAUAUUAGGAAGAUUGCAUGCGUUCGUUGCGAAAAAAUCCACCCGAGUUUCGCUACCCGGCAAUAGUGCAUUCGGGUGCCGAAAUGCACCCGUUUUGCAUCGUUUUUCGUGCCGGAACCGAAUGCCCAAAAACACUCCCAAACAUGUUCUAGUGUAUAAUUAGGAAGAUUGCAUGCGUUCGUUGCGAAAAAAUCCACCCGAGUUUCGCUACCCGGAAAUAGUGCAUUCGGGUGCCGAAAUGCACCCGUUUUGCAUCAGUUUUUCGUGCCGGAACCGAAUGCCCAAAAACACUCCCAAACAUGUUCUAGUGUAUAUUAGGAAGAUUGCAUGCGUUCGUUGCGAAAAAAUCCACCCGAGUUUCGCUACCCGGAAAUAGUGCAUUCGGGUGCCGAAAUGCACCCGUUUUGCAUCAUUUUUCGUGCCGGAACCGAAUGCCCAAAAACACUCCCAAACAUGUUCUAGUGCUAUAUUAGGAAGAUUGCAUGCGUUCGUUGCGAAAAAAUCCACCCGAGUUUCGCUACCCGGCAAUAGUGCAUUCGGUGCCGAAAUGCACCCGUUUUGCAUCGUUUUUCGUGCCGGAACCGAAUGCCCAAAAACACUCCCAAACAUGUUCUAGUGCAUAUUUAGGAAGAUUGCAUGCGUUCGUUGCGAAAAAAUCCACCGAGUUUCGCUACCCGGAAAUAGUGCAUUCGGGUGCCGAAAUGCACCCGUUUUGCAUCGUUUUUCGUGCCGGAACCGAAUGCCCAAAAACACUCCCAAACAUGUUCUAGUGCAUAUUAGGAAGAUUGCAUGCGUUCGUUGCGAAAAAAUCCACCCGAGUUUCGCUACCCGGCAAUAGUGCAUUCGGGUGCCGAAAUGCACCCGUUUUGCAUCAUUUUUCGUGCCGGAACCGAAUGCCCAAAAACACUCCCAAACAUGUUCUAGGUCAUAUUAGGAAGAUUGCAUGCGUUCGUUGCGAAAAAAUCCACCCGAGUUUCGCUACCCGGCAAUAGUGCAUUCGGGUGCCGAAAUGCACCCGUUUUGCAUCGUUUUUCGUGCCGGAACCGAAUGCCCAAAAACACUCCCAAACAUGUUCUAGGGUCUAAUUAGGAAGAUUGCAUGCGUUCGUUGCGAAAAAAUCCACCCGAGUUUCGCUACCCGGCAAUAGUGCAUUCGGGUGCCGAAAUGCACCCGUUUUGCAUCAUUUUUCGUGCCGGAACCGAAUGCCCAAAAACACUCCCAAACAUGUUCUAGUGCAUAUUUAGGAAGAUUGCAUGCGUUCGUUACGAAAAAAUCCACCCGAGUUUCGCUACCCGGCAAUAGUGCAUUCGGGUGCCGAAAUGCACCCGUUUUGCAUCGUUUUUCAGUGCCGGAACCGAAUGCCCAAAAACACUCCCAAACAUGUUCUAGUGCAUAUUUAGGAAGAUUGCAUGCGUUCGUUGCGAAAAAAUCCACUCGAGUUUCGCUACCCGGAAAUAGUGCAUUCGGGUGCCGAAAUGCACCCGUUUUGCAUCGUUUUUCGUGCCGGAACCGAAUGCCAAAAAACACUCCCAAACAUGUUCUAGUGCAUAUUUAGGAAGAUUGCAUGCGUUCGUUACGAAAAAAUCCACCCGAGUUUCGCUACCCGGCAAUAGUGCAUUCGGGUGCCGAAAUGCACCCGUUUUGCAUCAUUUUUCGUGCCAGAACCAAAUGCGCAAAAACACUCCCAAACAUGUUCUAAGUGCAUAUUUAGGAAGAUUGCAUGCGUUCGUUGUGAAAAAAUCCACCCGAGUUUCGCUACCCGGCAAUAGUGCAUUCGGGUGCCGAAAUGCACCCGUUUUGCAUCAGUUUUUCGUGUCGGAACCGAAUGCCCAAAGACACUCCCAAACAUGUUCUAGUGCAUAUUUAGGAAGAUUGCAUGCGUUCGUUACGAAAAAAUCCACCCGAGUUUCGCUACCCGGCAAUAGUGCAUUAAGGUGCCGAAAUGCACCCAGUUUGCAUCGUUUUUCAUGCCGGAACCGAAUGCCCAAAAACACUCCCAAACAUGUUCUAGUGCAUAUUUAGGAAGAUUGCAUGCGUUCGUUGCGAAAAAAUCCACCCGAGUUUCGCUACCCGGAAAUAGUGCAUUCGGGUGCCGAAAUGCACCCGUUUUGCAUCGUUUUUCGUGCCGGAACCGAAUGCCAAAAACUACUCCCAAACAUGUUCUAGUGCAUAUUUAGGAAGAUUGCAUGCGUUCGUUACGAAAAAAUCCACCCGAGUUUCGCUACCCGGCAAUAGUGCAUUCGGGUGCCGAAAUGCACCCGUUUUGCAUCAUUUUUCGUGCCGGAACCGAAUGCCCAAAAACACUCCCAAACAUGUUCUAGGCAUAUUUAGGAAGAUUGCAUGCGUUCGUUGCGAAAAAAUCCACCCGAGUUUCGCUACCCGGCAAUAGUGCAUUCGGGUGCCGAAAUGCACCCGUUUUGCAUCGUUUUUCGUGCCGGAACCGAAUGCCCAAAAACACUCCCAAACAUGUUCUAGGGUCUAAUUAGGAAGAUUGCAUGCGUUCGUUGCGAAAAAAUCCACCCGAGUUUCGCUACCCGGCAAUAGUGCAUUCGGGUGCCGAAAUGCACCCGUUUUGCAUCAUUUUUCGUGCCGGAACCGAAUGCCCAAAAACACUCCCAAACAUGUUCUAGUGCAUAUUUAGGAAGAUUGCAUGCGUUCGUUGCGAAAAAAUCCACCCGAGUUUCGCUACCCGGCAAUAGUGCAUUCGGGUGCCGAAAUGCACCCGUUUUGCAUCGUUUUUCGUGCCGGAACCGAAUGCCCAAAAACACUCCCAAACAUGUUCUAGUGCAUAUUUAGGAAGAUUGCAUGCGUUCGUUGCGAAAAAAUCCACCCGAGUUUCGCUACCCGGAAAUAGUGCAUUCGGGUGCCGAAAUGCACCCGUUUUGCAUCGUUUUUCGUGCCGGAACCGAAUGCCAAAAAACACUCCCAAACAUGUUCUAGUGCAUAUUUAGGAAGAUUGCAUGCGUUCGUUGCGAAAAAAUCCACCCGAGUUUCGCUACCCGGCAAUAGUGCAUUCGGGUGCCGAAAUGCACCCGUUUUGCAUCAGUUUUUCGUGCCGGAACCGAAUGCCCAAAAACACUCCCAAACAUGUUCUAGUGCAUAUUAGGAAGAUUGCAUGCGUUCGUUGCGAAAAAAUCCACCCGAGUUUCGCUACCCGGCAAUAGUGCAUUCGGGUGCCGAAAUGCACCCGUUUUGCAUCAUUUUUCGUGCCGGAACCGAAUGCCCAAAAACACUCCCAAACAUGUUCUAGUGCAUAUUUAGGAAGAUUGCAUGCGUUCGUUGCGAAAAAAUCCACCCGAGUUUCGCUACCCGGCAAUAGUGCAUUCGGGUGCCGAAAUGCACCCGUUUUGCAUCAUUUUUCGUGCCGGAACCGAAUGCCCAAAAACACUCCCAAACAUGUUCUAGUGCAUAUUUAGGAAGAUUGCAUGCGUUCGUUGCGAAAAAAUCCACCCGAGUUUCGCUACCCGGCAAUAGUGCAUUCGGGUGCCGAAAUGCACCCGUUUUGCAUCGUUUUUCGUGCCGGAACCGAAUGCCAAAAAACACUCCCAAACAUGUUCUAGUGCAUAUUUAGGAAGAUUGCAUGCGUUCGUUAGCGAAAAAAUCCACCCGAGUUUCGCUACCCGGCAAUAGUGCAUUCGGGUGCCGAAAUGCACCCGUUUUGCAUCGUUUUUCGUGCCGGAACCGAAUGCCCAAAAACACUCCCAAACAUGUUCUAGUGUCUAAUUAGGAAGAUUGCAUGCGUUCGUUGCGAAAAAAUCCACCCGAGUUUCGCUACCCGGCAAUAGUGCAUUCGGGUGCCGAAAUGCACCCGUUUUGCAUCAUUUUUCGUGCCGGAACCGAAUGCCCAAAAACACUCCCAAACAUGUUCUAGUGCAUAUUUAGGAAGAUUGCAUGCGUUCGUUACGAAAAAAUCCACCCGAGUUUCGCUACCCGGCAAUAGUGCAUUCGGGUGCCGAAAUGCACCCAGUUUUGCAUCGUUUUUCAGUGCCGGAACCGAAUGCCCAAAAACACUCCCAAACAUGUUCUAGUGCAUAUUUAGGAAGAUUGCAUGCGUUCGUUGCGAAAAAAUCCACCCGAGUUUCGCUACCCGGAAAUAGUGCAUUCGGGUGCCGAAAUGCACCCGUUUUGCAUCGUUUUUCGUGCCGGAACCGAAUGCCAAAAAACACUCCCAAACAUGUUCUAGUGCAUAUUUAGGAAGAUUGCAUGCGUUCGUUGCGAAAAAAUCCACCCGAGUUUCGCUACCCGGCAAUAGUGCAUUCGGGUGCCGAAAUGCACCCGUUUUGCAUCAUUUUUCGUGCCGAACCGAAUGCCCAAAAACACUCCCAAACAUGUUCUAGUGCAUAUUUAGGAAGAUUGCAUGCGUUCGUUGCGAAAAAAUCCACCCGAGUUUCGCUACCCGGCAAUAGUGCAUUCGGGUGCCGAAAUGCACCCGUUUUGCAUCGUUUUUCGUGCCGGAACCGAAUGCCCAAAAACACUCCCAAACAUGUUCUAGUGCAUAUUUAGGAAGAUUGCAUGCGUUCGUUGCGAAAAAAUCCACCCGAGUUUCGCUACCCGGCAAUAGUGCAUUCGGGUGCCGAAAUGCACCCGUUUUGCAUCAUUUUUCGUGCCGGAACCGAAUGCCCAAAAACACUCCCAAACAUGUUCUAGUGCAUAUUUAGGAAGAUUGCAUGCGUUCGUUGCGAAAAAAUCCACCCGAGUUUCGCUACCCGGCAAUAGUGCAUUCGGGUGCCGAAAUGCACCCGUUUUGCAUCGUUUUUCGUGCCGGAACCGAAUGCCAAAAAACACUCCCAAACAUGUUCUAGUGCAUAUUUAGGAAGAUUGCAUGCGUUCGUUGCGAAAAAAUCCACCCGAGUUUCGCUACCCGGCAAUAGUGCAUUCGGGUGCCGAAAUGCACCCGUUUUGCAUCAUUUUUCGUGCCAGGAACCAAAUGCCCAAAAACACUCCCAAACAUGUUCUAGGCAUAUUUAGGAAGAUUGCAUGCGUUCGUUGCGAAAAAAUCCACCCGAGUUUCGCUACCCGGCAAUAGUGCAUUCGGGUGCCGAAAUGCACCCGUUUUGCAUCAUUUUUCGUGCCGGAACCGAAUGCCCAAAAACACUCCCAAACAUGUUCUAGUGCAUAUUUAGGAAGAUUGCAUGCGUUCGUUGCGAAAAAAUCCACCCGAGUUUCGCUACCCGGCAAUAGUGCAUUAAGGUGCCGAAAUGCACCCGUUUUGCAUCGUUUUUCGUGCCGGAACCGAAUGCCCAAAAACACUCCCAAACAUGUUCUAGUGCAUAUUUAGGAAGAUUGCAUGCGUUCGUUGCGAAAAAAUCCACCCGAGUUUCGCUACCCGGAAAUAGUGCAUUCGGGUGCCGAAAUGCACCCGUUUUGCAUCGUUUUUCGUGCCGGAACCGAAUGCCAAAAACACUCCCAAACAUGUUCUAGUGCAUAUUUAGGAAGAUUGCAUGCGUUCGUUGCGAAAAAAUCCACCCGAGUUUCGCUACCCGGCAAUAGUGCAUUCGGGUGCCGAAAUGCACCCGUUUUGCAUCAUUUUUCGUGCCGGAACCGAAUGCCCAAAAACACUCCCAAACAUGUUCUAGUGCAUAUUUAGGAAGAUUGCAUGCGUUCGUUGCGAAAAAAUCCACCCGAGUUUCGCUACCCGGCAAUAGUGCAUUCGGGUGCCGAAAUGCACCCGUUUUGCAUCGUUUUUCGUGCCGGAACCGAAUGCCCAAAAACACUCCCAAACAUGUUCUAGUGUCUAAUUAGGAAGAUUGCAUGCGUUCGUUGCGAAAAAAUCCACCCGAGUUUCGCUACCCGGCAAUAGUGCAUUCGGGUGCCGAAAUGCACCCGUUUUGCAUCAUUUUUCGUGCCGGAACCGAAUGCUCAAAAACACUCCCAAACAUGUUCUAGUGCAUAUUUAGGAAGAUUGCAUGCGUUCGUUGCGAAAAAAUCCACCCGAGUUUCGCUACCCGGCAAUAGUGCAUUCGGGUGCCGAAAUGCACCCGUUUUGCAUCGUUUUUCGUGCCGGAACCGAAUGCCCAAAAACACUCCCAAACAUGUUCUAGUGCAUAUUUAGGAAGAUUGCAUGCGUUCGUUGCGAAAAAAUCCACCCGAGUUUCGCUACCCGGAAAUAGUGCAUUCGGGUGCCGAAAUGCACCCGUUUUGCAUCGUUUUUCGUGCCGGAACCGAAUGCCAAAAAACACUCCCAAACAUGUUCUAGUGCAUAUUUAGGAAGAUUGCAUGCGUUCGUUGCGAAAAAAUCCACCCGAGUUUCGCUACCCGGCAAUAGUGCAUUCGGGUGCCGAAAUGCACCCGUUUUGCAUCAGUUUUUCGUGCCGGAACCGAAUGCCCAAAAACACUCCCAAACAUGUUCUAGUGCAUAUUUAGGAAGAUUGCAUGCGUUCGUUGCGAAAAAAUCCACCCGAGUUUCGCUACCCGGCAAUAGUGCAUUCGGGUGCCGAAAUGCACCCGUUUUGCAUCGUUUUUCGUGCCGGAACCGAAUGCCCAAAAACACUCCCAAACAUGUUCUAGUGUCUAAUUAGGAAGAUUGCAUGCGUUCGUUGCGAAAAAAUCCACCCGAGUUUCGCUACCCGGCAAUAGUGCAUUCGGGUGCCGAAAUGCACCCGUUUUGCAUCAUUUUUCGUGCCGGAACCGAAUGCCCAAAAACACUCCCAAACAUGUUCUAGUGCAUAUUUAGGAAGAUUGCAUGCGUUCGUUGCGAAAAAAUCCACCCGAGUUUCGCUACCCGGCAAUAGUGCAUUCGGGUGCCGAAAUGCACCCGUUUUGCAUCGUUUUUCAGUGCCGGAACCGAAUGCCCAAAAACACUCCCAAACAUGUUCUAGUGCAUAUUUAGGAAGAUUGCAUGCGUUCGUUGCGAAAAAAUCCACUCGAGUUUCGCUACCCGGAAAUAGUGCAUUCGGGUGCCGAAAUGCACCCGUUUUGCAUCAUUUUUCGUGCCGGAACCGAAUGCCAAAAAACACUCCCAAACAUGUUCUAGUGCAUAUUUAGGAAGAUUGCAUGCGUUCGUUACGAAAAAAUCCACCCGAGUUUCGCUACCCGGCAAUAGUGCAUUCGGGUGCCGAAAUGCACCCGUUUUGCAUCAUUUUUCGUGCCAGAACCAAAUGCCCAAAAACACUCCCAAACAUGUUCUAGUGCAUAUUUAGGAAGAUUGCAUGCGUUCGUUGCGAAAAAAUCCACCCGAGUUUCGCUACCCGGCAAUAGUGCAUUCGGGUGCCGAAAUGCUCCCGUUUUGCAUCAUUUUUCGUGCCGGAACCGAAUGCCCAAAAACACUCCCAAACAUGUUCUAGUGCAUAUUUAGGAAGAUUGCAUGCGUUCGUUAGCGAAAAAAUCCACCCGAGUUUCGCUACCCGGCAAUAGUGCAUUCGGGUGCCGAAAUGCACCCGUUUUGCAUCAUUUUUCGUGCCGGAACCGAAUGCCCAAAAACACUCCCAAACAUGUUCUAGUGCAUAUUUAGGAAGAUUGCAUGCGUUCGUUAGCGAAAAAAUCCACCCGAGUUUCGCUACCCGGCAAUAGUGCAUUCGGGUGCCGAAAUGCACCCGUUUUGCAUCAUUUUUCGUGCCAGGAACCGAAUGCCCAAAAACACUCCCAAACAUGUUCUAGUGCAUAUUUAGGAAGAUUGCAUGCGUUCGUUGCGAAAAAAUCCACCCGAGUUUCGCUACCCGGCAAUAGUGCAUUCGGGUGCCGAAAUGCACCCGUUUUGCAUCAUUUUUCGUGCCGGAACCGAAUGCCCAAAAACACUCCCAAACAUGUUCUAGUGCAUAUUUAGGAAGAUUGCAUGCGUUCGUUGCGAAAAAAUCCACCCGAGUUUCGCUACCCGGCAAUAGUGCAUUCGGGUGCCGAAAUGCACCCGUUUUGCAUCAUUUUUCGUGCCGGAACCGAAUGCCCAAAAACACUCCCAAACAUGUUCUAGUGCAUAUUUAGGAAGAUUGCAUGCGUUCGUUGCGAAAAAAUCCACCCGAGUUUCGCUACCCGGCAAUAGUGCAUUCGGGUGCCGAAAUGCACCCGUUUUGCAUCGUUUUUCGUGCCGGAACCGAAUGCCCAAAAACACUCCCAAACAUGUUCUAGUGUCAUAUUAGGAAGAUUGCAUGCGUUCGUUGCGAAAAAAUCCACCCGAGUUUCGCUACCCGGCAAUAGUGCAUUCGGGUGCCGAAAUGCACCCGUUUUGCAUCAUUUUUCGUGCCGGAACCGAAUGCUCAAAAACACUCCCAAACAUGUUCUAGUGCAUAUUUAGGAAGAUUGCAUGCGUUCGUUGCGAAAAAAUCCACCCGAGUUUCGCUACCCGGCAAUAGUGCAUUCGGGUGCCGAAAUGCACCCGUUUUGCAUCGUUUUUCGUGCCGGAACCGAAUGCCCAAAAACACUCCCAAACAUGUUCUAGUGCAUAUUUAGGAAGAUUGCAUGCGUUCGUUGCGAAAAAAUCCACCGAGUUUCGCUACCCGGAAAUAGUGCAUUCGGGUGCCGAAAUGCACCCGUUUUGCAUCGUUUUUCAGUGCCGGAACCGAAUGCCAAAAACACUCCCAAACAUGUUCUAGUGCAUAUUUAGGAAGAUUGCAUGCGUUCGUUGCGAAAAAAUCCACCCGAGUUUCGCUACCCGGCAAUAGUGCAUUCGGGUGCCAAAAUGCACCCGUUUUGCAUCAUUUUUCGUGCCAGAACCAAAUGCCCAAAAACACUCCCAAACAUGUUCUA